rnacentral:rRNA from 1 species
ACACUCCUACGGGAGGCAGCAGUGGGGAAUAUUGGACAAUGGGCGCAAGCCUGAUCCAGCCAUGCCGCGUGAGUGAUGAAGGCCCUAGGGUUGUAAAGCUCUUUCACCGGUGAAGAUAAUGACGGUAACCGGAGAAGAAGCCCCGGCUAACUUCGUGCCAGCAGCCGCGGUAAUACGAAGGGGGCUAGCGUUGUUCGGAUUUACUGGGCGUAAAGCGCACGUAGGCGGACUAUUAAGUCAGGGGUGAAAUCCCGGGGCUCAACCCCGGAACUGCCUUUGAUACUGGUAGUCUUGAGUUCGAGAGAGGUGAGUGGAAUUCCGAGUGUAGAGGUGAAAUUCGUAGAUAUUCGGAGGAACACCAGUGGCGAAGGCGGCUCACUGGCUCGAUACUGACGCUGAGGUGCGAAAGCGUGGGGAGCAAACAGGAUUAGAAACCCGGUAGUCCCAUG